rnacentral:lncRNA from 10 species
CCGGGAUGGGGCUGUGUUCCUGGCAGUCCCCUGGGCUUCCUGCAGGGACCUGGAUUCUUAGUAUUUCAGGCUGCUGUCCCUUUUUUUUUUUCAUUUCCUUUUUGUUUUUGUUGUUGAUGUGACCGCGUGUCCACAACCCUGGGAUUCCCUCGCCCUCAGAUUCCAGAAUCCAAUUUCUUGGAUUUCAGUGUUUUUAAGGUGGGAGGUCUCGCUAUGCUUCCCAGGCUGGACUCAAAUUCCUGGGCUCAAGUGAUUCCCCCGCCUCAGCCUCCUGAGUAGCUGGGACUACAGAUAUGGCAUGUCAGUCUGGUGGUCUAGCCAGAGGAAGACUCCUGGAGCUGGUGAACUGUGCAUGGAUAUGCAGUCACGGGCAGCCCACCUCCUACUCCUCACCCUCCCUGUGCCUGUGAGGGUCUGCACUCACCCUGGUCUUGCUUUAUUGCCCAGGCUGGAGUACAGUGGCGCAAUCACGGCUCACUGCAGCCUCAACCUCUUGGGCCCGAGCAAUCUUCCCACCUUGGUCUCCUAAAGUGCUGGGAUAACAGGCAUGAGCCACCACAUCUGGCUGAGGCCCCACAUUUUCAUUUUGUGCUGAGACUUGUAAAUUAGGUAGCUGGUCCUGGCUGUAGCAGAUGGUAUAGAUUCUUUUUCUGGCUCUGUUUUUGUGACAUCUCAACUUACUGGGCUCUUAUUAAAGGUGAUUUAGGUGACUUAUCAACUUUUCAUGAGUACAGAUGAAGAACUCUUCUAGGGCAGGGGUCCCCAACCCUUGGGCCACAGACCAGUACUGGCCUAUUAGGAGCCAGGCCGCACAGCAGGAGGUGAGUGGCAGGCAAGCAAAUCAAGCUUCAUCUGUAUUUACAGCCACUCCCCAUCACUAGCAUUAUUGCCUGAGCUUGGCCUCCUGUCAGAUCAGUGGCGACCUUGAUUGUCAUAGGAGCGUGAACCCUCUAGUGAACUGCGCAUGGCAGAGAUCUAGGUUGCACUCUCCUUGUGAGAAUCUAAUGCUUGAUGAUCUGUCACUGUCUCCCAUCACUCCGAGAUGGGAUCGCCUAGUUGCAAGAAAACAAGUUCAAGGCUCUCACUGAUUUUGCCUUAUGCCCAAGAUUCAGAAUCCACUGGCCUUGAGUUCGCCCUGUCCUGGGGACAGUGGGACCUGUCACCUGCUGGCCAAGGUAGGGCUCCAACUUUGUGAAAAGUACAUGCGGCAGGUCUGACCCUUAAACAACUCUUCUGACGUGUGGAAUGCAGGGCUGGGUGGGAGCAGCCGGCACACCUGUCAUUCACUGUUUAGCCACUGAAGGGCAGUGUUGCUCCACAGGAAGGGGCCAGGCAGAUGUGCGCCAUCACUGUGGCUCCCAGGUCGGAAUGAGGAUAUUUUAGCUAGUCCCUACCAAGCACCACUGGUGUGCUAGUCACUUUGAAUAUAGUACUCGUGCAAUCAUGCAAGAGAAAGUUGAUGACCCGUAGUGUAGUGUGGUGUAGUGUGGUGUAGUGUAGUGUAGUGUAGUGUAGUGUAGUGUAGUGUAGUGUGUAGUGUAGUGUAGUGUAGUGUGUAGUGUAGUGUAGUGUAGUUUUUGAGACAGGGUCUCACUGUUGUCCAGGCUGGAAUAUAGUGAUCAGGGCUCACUGCAGCCUUGACCUCCGGGGCUCAAGUAAUCCUCCCGCCUUAGCCUCCCAAAUAACUGGGACUACAGGUGCACACCACUACACUUGGCUAAUUUUUGUAUUUUUUUUGUAAAGAUUGGCGGGGGGGGGGGGGUCUCACUGUGUUGCCUAGGCUGGUCUCGAACUCCAGGGCUCAAGUGAUUCUCCUGCCUCAGCCUCCCAAAGUACUGGGAUUACAGGUGUGAGCCAGCACACCCAGCUGACCCUUAUUUUAAAGAUGAAGUAAAGAAAAUCGGAGAGAUUAAAUGAUGUUUUCAAUGUUUCAUGACUAGUAAAUGGCUAAGCCAGAAAUCAACCUCAGGUCUGCCUAAAUCCCAAACCCCGUCAGUGCCUUCACCUGCUCUCCCUUUGUCACGAUGGCCAAUCUUUUCUAGCAUGUCUUCCUAGCAGCCACCUGCCAGGGUAGUGCUGAGUGCACAACCUUGUCUCACUCAGCUGGCUCAAUUUAGCCAACUUUUGAUUACCGAAA